rnacentral:lncRNA from 1 species
GAAGGUGUGCAAGUCGGAUAACACCACCAGAAAACAAAAGCCCACACUGCGAUGUUAAAAAGCAGCCAAAUCACCACUAUAAUAGCGGGGUCCAUUAACUUACUCUCACUCUGCAAGUUAAAGCAGAAGCGAGGUUUUUUACUUUCGGUUCGCUUUUGUCGCAAACAGUGCUGCUCCUUUCCGGAGACUUUAUUGCCUCUUUCCCGAGGGCUUUGUUGCUCCUUUACCGGGAGACUUUAUCGCCUCUUUCCUGAGGGCUUUGGUGCUCCUGUACCGGAGACUUUAUCGCCUCUUUCCCGAGGACCUUGGUGCUCCUUUACCGGAGACCUAUCUCCGCAUUCACCGCGGACUUUACAGUUCCACUUACCUUGGGAACUUACCCCAACUGUGAGAAGUUCUGAUUCCCCGUACGUACGGGCCACUACUCGCGGCGGUGGCGGCUUCCCCGUACGGGCCACCACUUGCGGCGUCCACUCUUGACCAGCAAGAAAGACGCCACACCGAGGAAUCUUCUUCAAACACAGUUUAAUCGGGAACCUCUUUGCUUUAUCACCUAACCCUACGUGGCGCGCCAGGAUAGGUUGUCUCCAAGCAGAAUUAAGAGGAUACAUGACCUUUACCAUAUUUGGAGUUGUUUACUACAGAGAGCGCUCGCCGUCGGGCGGAGGGCAGAAACUGGCGCCAUCUUUUGGGUGCGGUUUUCUGCAGCUCCCUACAUUAGAGG